rnacentral:lncRNA from 1 species
CGUUCGUCUACCAACGCUUCUACGACUGGUUAGAAUGUGCCUUGUCACAUAAAAUGUGUUAAGCCCAAUACAUAACACCAUCCAAAAGGUAUGCUGAAGAGUUUGCUAAAACAGUCAUAGCAGUUACAGCGGUUGUUAGUAACUCAGAGAAGGUUUGGGAACCUUCAAGCUUCCAAGAGGUCUAAAGUUUAACCUCAGAGGAUGCUGAGCCAUGGUUAAAUGCCAUGAAGGCUGAACUUGAUUCCUUAGAGAGGAACAAGACAUGGGAACUAGUUCCAGGCCUGCCCAGGCCACAAAGUUCAGUUAUUGCAAAAGUUUCUCAAUGGGUGGGGUAUAAAUAAAAAGAUUAUUAUUAUUAUUAUUAUUAUUAUGUUAAUUUUAUGCAUUUUUUAAAAUCACCAUGGUAUUUAACAAUAACAUUGUCAGGGAACUGCCAUCAGCUCAGAGGUGAGAGGUGGAAGGGCAGUUGGAUUACAGGGAGCCUCCAAAGAUCGUGAGAAGCAGCACUUCCUCCGCAGAGGAUGGAAGCCCCGGCUCUAGUGGGGAAGAGAUGCAGGGCUCGGAGGAUGCAAGAGAGAGGAUGCAAGAGACCACGCCGGCAGACAUAACAAGCAUCUUAUGUCCUUUAGAGGAAAAAUUGUGAAUUGUAUAAUUUUUUUAAAUCCCCAUAGUAUUUAACAAUAAUAUCUUACGUUCUUUAGAGGAGAAAUUGUGAAUUGCAGAAUUUUAAAUACCCUUCAUCAUCCUUGGCUUCACUCAGUUUUGUUUAUAACACUCUUCCAUUUUCUUCUAGUUGUGAGGGUGGGGCCUCACAAGUGGAGUAGCGUAGGGCCUCUCGUCGUCUAAAUCCAGCCCUGAUUGCAAGUGUUCAAAUAUGAGGUAAAGGACUUUAUUAAAAAGAAAGAAAGGAAGCAAAAAUCCCUGUUGUAUGAAGAGAGGAAAUGGUAUGAGUAUAUAAAGGGACUUUCUGGCUAACGUCGUGGCUUGAGUAAUUUAUUAUUUGAUGAAACGUAGCAGCUGCUUCCCAGAAACUAUUCUUCUUCCCCACUGGUAGAGGAAUAAUCACAGGAAGUUGUUCAAUCAAAAAGGUCAUUUCUGCCUUCCAGGAAAAUGUUUACUAAAUUGAUAGUAGCUGAGCCUGAAACUAAAUGAAAACUUUUCAUCAGCCUUAAGACAUAUUGCAAUUUGUUAAAUACAGUAUAUUUCAAAAAGCUAACUUUAAUUUUAAUACAGUUCAAAAUUCUUCCUGUGAUUGUUUCUCUCCGAACCCAUAACAUAGCUCUUUGAAAGAGCAGGAGAACAGAAAAGAUGUUUUAUUGAUUUACUAUGCAUGGCAAGCUGCCCAUUAAUUGAACAUGCUGAUAAUCCAUUUUAUUGCCCAUCUAUCUCUGAAUCUAAUUAUGUUAUGCACGGAGAUGCAAGGAGAUAUAGAUACAGAUAGAGAUAUAUCGUAUCAUUUCAGAGCCAUACUACAAAAUGCAGGCAUGCCUUCAACACUUUAGACCAGGGUUGGGAAACCUCUGACCCAGGGGAAGAAUGUGCCACCCAGACCACUCUGACUGGCACUUGCAACUCUCCCCAGUCCCCCCCCUCACCCCCAAGUGCUUUCACUCUGGCAGGUAUGUGUCAUUGAACCAAGAAUGGUGUGAGAAUGUGUGUAUCUCUAUGUAAUAAAAUUAGAAGAAUGCCACCACAUAGCCUCCAUUUGAGGAUUUGUGGUGCUGCUCCACAAUUCUGGAUUUAAUGUAUGAAUCCAGGGCAGUCUGGGGAAACAAAAAUGAAGGCAGGUUGCAUGACAGUAGUAACCAUAGCAUGGGAAGAAGACUGGAGGAACACUGAGAGGGGAACAGCAAUGGUUUAAAACAGUGGUUUACAACCAGUGUGCUGUGGCACACUGGGGUGCCUUGAAUGACGGUCUGGGGUGCCAUGGGGAACACUGGCCUCUGUCCCUCUUUCCUUCCCUCCCUCCUCUGAUGCCCUCUCAUGUCUCUGCCUCUCAAAGGGUUGUAAAGCUGUUUGUUGCAGCAGCCCUGGCUACAAGAUUCCCAGGUGAAUGGUGCCUCUGGGGCUGGCCCAGGUCCCUGUAGGGCAGUUUGAGGAGGCACCUCUCUUUGGGGCAGGAGCGGCACAGUUCAAAGACCAGGGGUGGCAGCUGCCGCUGCCCAGAGGACUUCCUAGGAGAGGGGAGAGCAGAGGAGGGUGAGGGAACACUACACAAGGGAGGGUGUUUUAAAAAGGAUGAGAGGCUGCCA